rnacentral:rRNA from 1 species
UUAAACUGAAGAGUUUGAUCAUGGCUCAGAUUGAACGCUGGCGGCAGGCUUAACACAUGCAAGUCGAGCGGGGAGAUGUAGCUUGCUACAUAUCCUAGCGGCGGACGGGUGAGU